UACGAAGGGUGCAAGCGUUACUCGGAAUUACUGGGCGUAAAGCGUGCGUAGGUGGUUCGUUAAGUCUGAUGUGAAAGCCCUGGCUCAACCUGGGAAUGGCAUUGGAUACUGGCGAUCUAGAGUGCGGUAGAGGGCAGUGGAAUUCCCGGUGUAGCAGUGAAAUGCGUAGAGAUCGGGGAGGAACAUCUGUGGCGAAGGCGACUGCCUGGACCAGCACUGACACUGAGGCACGAAAGCGUGGGGAGCAAACAG
rnacentral:rRNA from 1 species